GUUUGCUUUGCCAUAUAAUUUUGUAUAUCCCCUGUUUAAAUGCUUGAGCUGUUUUAGUGUAACCAAUAUAAUAGCAUUCAGUGGAAAAGACUAUUCAACAUUGGCUCAAAAUGUUUCUCUGUUCUUAAGGGCUGACACAGAUGCAUGGACCAUUUAAACCGUGGAUGCUGUGCAAACAAGUCCUUUCAAUGUGUACUGUGGGGUUCACAAACGGUCAAACCAACAGCUCAGUGGAGGACAGUGCGUCAGCUCAAAGGGUCCCCUCUGUGGUCGCUGUGCAGCUUUAGUGGAAGAAAGUAAGUCACACAAGUUUGGAAUAGCAUGAGGGUCAACAGCAUUGUUAAGAAAAACAGCUGCUGGGAAGAACGCUUAGCAACUGCAAUAACUCUGAAGAGGACGUGGG
ensembl:lncRNA